GCCAGGAUAGCUCAGUUAGGUAGAGCAUGGUGCUGAUAACACCAAGGUUGCAGGUUCAAUCCCCAUAUGUGACA